rnacentral:rRNA from 1 species
UACGGAGGGUGCAAGCGUUGUUCGGAUUGACUGGGCGUAAAGGGCGUGUAGGCGGUUUGUCAAGUCGGGUGUGAAAGCCUGGGGCUCAGCCCCAGAAGUGCAUCCGAAACUAGCGAGCUAGAGCGCGAUAGAGGAGGGUGGAAUUCCUGGUGUAGCGGUGAAAUGCGUAGAUAUCAGGAGGAACACCGGCGGCGAAGGCGGCCCUCUGGACGGAUACUGACGCUGAGACGCGACAGCGUGGGGAGCAAACAGG